rnacentral:lncRNA from 1 species
CUGUGUGUCAACCUCUGUGCUUCGUGGCAAGGUAGACUAGCAAACAUGCCCAACCUUUACUCACAUUCGAGAAAACACUCCCAAUAAGAUUGCUUGCUCCAAAAUCGAAGAGGCACCGUCCUCCGAAUCUCGAGAGCCAGACUCCCAACAUGACUACUUUCUUAAAAAUCGAAGAGAGGGUAAAGGAACAGUACCAUUGCUGGAUAAUUGGAAAGUCCCUGUGUGUCAACCUCUGUGCUUCGUGGCAAGGUAGACUAGCAAACAUGCCCAACCUUUACUCACAUUCGAGAAAACACUCCCAACAAGAUUGCUUGCUCCAAAAUCGAAGAGGCACCGCUCUCCGAAUCUCGAGAGCCAGACUCCCAACAUGAUUACUUUCUCAAAAAUCGAAGAGACACUACUCCCCGAAUCUUCGAGAGCCAGACCCCCAGCAUGAUUGCUU